GAUCCCUUCGGGGUGAUUUGUUGGACGCUAGCGGCGGAUGGGUGAGUAACACGUGGGCAAUCUGCCCUAAAGACUGGGAUACCACUUGGAAACAGGUGCUAAUACCGGAUAACAACAUGAAUCGCAUGAUUCAAGUUUGAAAGGCGGCGCAAGCUGUCACUUUAGGAUGAGCCCGCGGCGCAUUAGCUAGUUGGUGGGGUAAAGGCCUACCAAGGCAAUGAUGCGUAGCCGAGUUGAGAGACUGAUCGGCCACAUUGGGACUGAGACACGGCCCAAACUCCUACGGGAGGCAGCAGUAGGGAAUCUUCCACAAUGGGCGCAAGCCUGAUGGAGCAACACCGCGUGAGUGAAGAAGGGUUUCGGCUCGUAAAGCUCUGUUGUUAGAGAAGAACGUGCGUGAGAGCAACUGUUCACGCAGUGACGGUAUCUAACCAGAAAGUCACGGCUAACUACGUGCCAGCAGCCGCGGUAAUACGUAGGUGGCAAGCGUUAUCCGGAUUUAUUGGGCGUAAAGCGAGCGCAGGCGGUUUGAUAAGUCUGAUGUGAAAGCCUUUGGCUUAACCAAAGAAGUGCAUCGGAAACUGUCAGACUUGAGUGCAGAGGAGGACAGUGGAACUCCAUGUGUAGCGGUGGAAUGCGUAGAUAUAUGGAAGAACACCAGUGGCGAAGGCGGCUGUCUGGUCUGCAACUGACGCUGAGGCUCGAAAGCAUGGGUAGCGAACAGGAUUAGAUACCCUGGUAGUCCAUGCCGUAAACGAUGAGUGCUAGGUGUUUGGAAGGGUUUCCGCCCUUCAGUGCCGCAGCUAACGCAUUAAGCACUCCGCCUGGGGGAGUACGACCGCAAAGGUUGAAACUCAAAGGAAAUUGACGGGGGCCCGCACAAGCGGUGGAACCAUGUGGGUUUAAUUCGAAGCUACGCGAAGAACCUUACCAGGUCUUGACAUCUUGCGCCACCCUAGAAGAAUAGGGCGUUUCCUUCGGGAACGCAAUGACAGGCGGGUGCAUGGUCGUCGUCAGCUCGUGU
rnacentral:rRNA from 1 species